CCUUUUGCAAGCAAGUGAAUCACUUAUUCCACACAAGAAAGUCCUGGGUAGGUAGCUGGACUUCUUCCUCGAAGUCACAUGUUUUUUUAAAUAUUUGAAGAAUCAUGCUUGGACUUUUUGGUAGAAUUUUAUGAAUAGGGAAGAGGUUAGUAGCAAAUAUUUAAUUAGUGGGCCUUUGGAAGAAAAAUAAAAAUCUUUACUAUGGAUAAAAAGAAGAUUUUCCCAAGUGCCUGUUUGGUGACUUUUGUCUAUUGAAUGUGGACCCUUGGCCGGAUCUUUUGCAAUUGUUCAUUUGUAACCAUUGGAAGUCCUUUAAUCCAAUGGUCAGGAUCAUGUGAAUGGUGUGUUUUAGCCAUUAAGGCCUGUCCAUUUGAGUAAGAGAUGACAUUGGUUCUUUGCUCAUAUAACUAGCCUUCUAUUUACUACGUUUUGCCAUUCACUGUGUGCAUGCUGGCUGGGUUAUUACUUGAUUUAUUAAAGAAUGUUUACCCCAUAUUGUUCUAGGUUUUGGUUUGUACAAUUGGGGCCCAUGAUUUAGUGAUUUGGACCACUGAUAUAUGGCCACACUUUAGAUUGGCAUGUACCAAAAUCUCCAAGAUGGAAAGGUCGUGGCCAAUAAUUACAAAGGGAAGAAUGAAAGUAUAACAAUGGUUACAUUCAACCAAAAAUCAAUAUUCCAUUGUAUCUUCUAUUUUUUUUUUUUAUUCAAUUCCAUGUAGGUAAUAGUAUCUGAGGAUAUUGUAUCCUUGAUUCAAGUCCUUUUAACUCUCUUUUAUAAACUUAAAUUGCAGAUUGAAAAGUAUCAUACUAACUAUACUUAUUUGAUAAGGGAUCUUCCACACCUUACACCCUACUCUUUACCCUUUACACUUUACAUUUUGGGAAAGCAAAAGAAUGGGAGAGAGAGCUUCAGACAUCUAUAGAAGACCCAGUUCCAAGUAGUUGUAGGAUGGAGGAGUUUAAAAUUCAUCAUGACUCCUCUUCUAAUCCAUCACAUUUAAAGGUUUUAUUCCUUUUUUAAAAUCAGUGCAUGUAUCACUUUCAAAGCACACCACCUCUUAUGCGAAUGUGUACCAUUAAGCUAGGGGGUGGAAUCAUCUUAAUCUACUCUUUACUCUUCUUCUUAUUUUUCUUUUUCUUUUUUAUUAUACACAUGCAUUCACACCUCAACAUACCCACAUACUCUUGAAGCACUCUCUUCAUUUGAACAGGGUACAAAAAGGUGAAGCAUGGGUUUGGCAUGAGGGUUCCAAGAUCGAUGUUGAGGUUCUUCAAUUAGUGAGAUUUUUUCAUGUAAGUGAUAUUGGUCUUGUUUCGAGUCUAACAGUUUGUCUGUUCUAAAUGAAGACCAACUUGUUCAGAUUUGUCUGGCAUAAGCAAUCACAAUCGAAGCCGAUGGAUGAGAAGAUAGUAGCUAUUGCACUACAAGCAUUUAAAAAAGUUAUGUGUGACACCAGCUUAUCAGAGACCCGAAAAAGCGGCUGACCACCUAUGAAGUUCCGUGUGAGUUUUUUUUUUUUUUUUAGCUAUAUCAUGUUUUAUAAUUUAGAGAUCUUGACAGUGGUGAAAUAUUUAUGACUGUGAAAAAGCUUUCAAGGUUAGCUCAUUUCUACUUAAAACAUCGAAUAACUAGAUAAAUCAGCCAGAAUGUACAUUGAUUAGUUGGUAGUUUUUUGGCUUUAUCUCAUUAAUAUUGUAUCCAUUAUAUUUUUCUAAAGGCAAAUCAUCUUUCCAACCUGAGUGGCUGCUGCAGUUGGAUAUAGACUCAUUGACUUGAAGUUGAUUUUUUCCUUGUUGGCCACCACCAUUGCCAUUGUCAUAACUUUCCGCCAGCUAUUUGAGAUUGCCUUUGAUCUUUUCCUUGUUCUUCUGGGAAAAAAGGAAAAGAAAAGUGAGAAAGGAUUAAAUCAGUUAGUUGAAAUUUGUGAACAUUUGAAGAGAUCAGUGGAGAAAUUAAUCCCUCGAGUUCUUGAGAACUAUGGGAACUUCUCAUAGAACAUUGAAGCUUGUCUAUUAGAUAACUUUUAAUAAUCAAUUUCUUAUUCUGGGUAAAGAUGCACUUGAUUCAUCAGCUGAUGCUCUCAUGCU